rnacentral:lncRNA from 1 species
ACCCCCACAGCAACACACAACUGUCACACACACACUGUACAUAUACACAAGCACACCCCCACAGCAACACACAACUGCCACACACACUGUAAUAUACACAUGCACACCCCCACAGCAACACACAACUGCCACACACACACUGUACAUAUACACAAGCACACUCCCACAGCAACACACAACUGCCACACACACACACUGUAAUAUACACAUGCACACCCCCAAAGCAACACACAACUGCCACACACACAUACUGUAAUAUACACAUGCACACCCCCACAGCAACACACAACUGUCACACACACACUGUACAUAUACACAAGCACACUCCCACAGCAACAUGUACUUACAAACACAAAGAAAUGGAGGCUUGGAGGGCCUCGACUGAGGAAAGGAGCGUGAAAGGGAAAUGUAUUGAAGAAGUGGGUGGAGCAGUGGUUCUUACCAUUCAGGGAACCUUGGCAUUAUGGGUAACUCACUAGAACACCCAUACUGUCCCCUGUGUGCUCACCCUCAGGGUGAGGUGCUGGGAUUGCCAUUCUUAACAGUUUCUUUGGGUGGCUGUUGGGAUUGGGGACCUUUGGAGUUUUACUAUUUCUGUUUUGACCCCAUAUCUGUAAUUUGGUAGUCGGGGAUCACAAUUUUACAAAACAUUUGUACUCUAGGCUCAAUCACACACAAAACAGAGAUAAUGGUAAUUUAAUGGGUGUAAGGCUGAGCUGAUGUUCACAAACAUAUCUAGUGUAACAUUAAUUUAUCUAAGCACUCAGUUUCCUUCUUUUUUAUUUUUUCUUGGCAAGAACAAGCAUUCUUUAUUGCCUCCAUGGUCCCUUGUUAAAUUUACAUAACUUAGGUAAAACUGUUAUUUCAUUUUUUGUAUUAGAUAUUUUCUUUAUUUACAUUUCAAAUGCUAUUCCGAAAGUUCCCUAUACCCUCCCCCGCCCCGCCCUGCCCACCCACUCCCACUUCUUGGCCCUGACAUUCCCCUGUACUAGGAUAUAAAGAUUGCAAGACCUAGGGGCCUCUCUUCGCAAUGAUGGCCGACUAGGCCAUCUUCUGCUACAUAUACAGGUACAGACACGAACUCUGGGGGUACUAGUUAGUUCAUAUUGUUGUUCCACCUGUAGGGUUGCAGACCCCUUCAGCUCAUUGGGUACUUUCUCUAGCUCCUCCAUUGGGGGCCCUGUGUUCCAUCCUAUAGAUGCCUGAGAGCAUCCACUUCUGUAUUUGCCAGGCACCGGCAUAGCCUCACAAGAGAUAGCUAUAUCAGGGUCCUGUCAGCAAAAUCUUGCUGGCAUAUGCAAUAGUGUCUGGGUUUGGUGGUUGAUUAUGGGAUGGAUCGCCUGGUGGGGUAGUCUCAGGAUAGUCCAUCCUUUCGGGUUAGCUCCAAACUUUGUCUCUGUAACUCCUUUCAUGGGUAUUUUGUUCCCUAUUCUAAGGAGGAAAGAAGUAUCCACACAUUGGUCUUCCUUCUUCUUGAUUUUCAUGUGUUUUGAAAAUUGCAUCUUGAGUAUUCUACGUUUCUGGGCUAAUAUCCACAUAUCAGUGAGUGCAUAUCUAGUGACUUCUUUUGUGCUUGGGUUACCUCACUAAGGAUGAUAUCCUCCAGAUACAUCCAUUUGCCCAAGAAUUUCACAAAUUCAUUCCUUUUAAUAGCUGAGUAGUACUCCAUUGUGUAAAUGUAACACAUUUUCUGUAUCCAUUCCUCUGUUGAGGGACAUCUGGGUUUUUUCCAGCUUCUGGCUAUUAUAAAUAGGGCUGCUAUGAACAUAGUGGAGCAUGUGUCCUUAUUACCAGUUGGAGCAUCUUCUGGGUAUUGCCCAGGAGAAGUAUUGCAGGAUCUUCUGAAAGUACUAUGUCCAAUUUUCAGAGGAACCUCCAGNNNNNNNNNNNNNNNNNNNNNNNNNNNNNNNNNNNNN